ACACUUACCUGGCAGGGGAAACACUAACCAUGAGGGUGGUGUUCCCAAGGUGGGCUCAUUCAUUGCUCUGUGGAUGUGCGGACCCCUGCGAUUCCCCCAACUCUGGGGAACUCAGCUGCAUAAGUUUGUGGUGGUGGUGGACUUUGGUCACGCUCUCCCCUA
ensembl:snRNA U1 U1 spliceosomal RNA